rnacentral:misc_RNA from 1 species
GGCGAUCCUCGGGAAUCAAGCUCUGCGGACGCGGGUGUCACCUAUGAGAACAAUUAACCCAAUGUGGAAUGAGGAUUUGUUGUUCGUGGCUGCCGAGCCUUUUGAAGAGCACCUGGUGCUCAGUGUUGAAGAUAGAGUCGCCCCUAACAAGGAUGAGGUUCUGGGUCGGGCGGUCGUUCCGUUGCAGAACGUCGGCAGGAGGCUCGACUACAAGCCAGUGAAC